rnacentral:lncRNA from 1 species
GAACGCCAAAGAGAGAAGAAAUGCCUUGAGAAAUGAAAUGGAAAUCGACAGUAUCUAAGAGCAAAACCGUACUCAUUCUGACACUUCAGGAUAAAUACUUCUGUUCUUGCUCACUAACAGCCACUACCUUUUCUUCUUAGGGUAGGUCCUAUUCUGAGCUCUUCGAAGCAGUCCAAAGGCUAAGUACUUUGAUGCAUGCAGGAGCAUGUUGAAGGUUGCACUGCUGCUGUGCCUAGUGGCAAAAUGGGCUGGAGGUCCAGCUGACCUGUGUUAAGCCACCACACCUGCUGUCUUCAGGCUCAUUUUGUUAACUUUCAGGGGUUCUGCAGAUCCUGUGAGAAGCUUUCUGGGCUUCAGUUGCUGGAGCAUAGAACUGCAGUAGGAGCAGGAAGGUAGUGCAAUGGGGAGGAAAGAAAUAAUUUAUUUCCCUCUACAAGAAAAAACUAGCUACCUUUGGCUAAACUAAAAACACACAUGUACACUUGCAUGUGCUUGUCACUGGUAUAAGACAAAAUAUAGGAACUUGGGCUACUAAUAUAGAAAAAGGACUACUGGGCACAAGCAUUGUGAGGAUGGAUUCUCCCCUGAAACCUCUCCAGAUAAGGGGAACAUUUAGGGGUUGAGAGUCUGAUUGAGCCUUGCCAAAUGCAGGAACACUUCAACUAACUGGCUAAACCACCUCCCUCUGGGCAUGACAACUCACUAAUGCUCAGCUGACAGAAGAGCCUUUAGGGUCCAAGACUGGUGACGUAAUUCAAGACACACCUUACACGAUUGUUCUGGGGGACCAGAAUUAGAAAAACUGGUUACCUAAUUUCCGUCCUGAAAGGCCAAUGACAGAGCUGUGAGUUACCCUGGUGACAUGAGGCUUUCCUAAUGCCAGCCCCUCAGGACAGAGGAGACACACGCAGUGUCAGCAUUGCUGCGGCAGGGUCUACCCCAUGCCACUGCCUUGCUGAGACUGGCACAAUGGACUCAGCAGGAGGAAGAGGAAAUUUCUGUCUCUUACCAGCCUCAGCUUGCUUGGCCAGGCAGAGCAUCACUCAGGAAUCAGUGCAAUCUACAAAGCAGUCCAGCUGUCACCUCAGGAUUCGGUCACCAGGGCAUGUUUUGAAAUACGGAAAAAUACACCUUGAGACUAUGUUACAUCUGUCAAAAUCUCAGAUUCUGACUGUUGAGGUAUUUACAUUAGGCUCGCUCAUGACAGCAGUGAGCCUGUCACUACCUUCUCCUCUCUUCUGCAAGGCUGCUAAGGAAAGGCAAACACUCCUUCUCUUAAUAAAGCAAAGACUUCAGAAUUCAGAGCUCCCUGCAAGACUAUUUUCCUGGUGAAUACCAGCCACUGAUUGCUGCACCAGAGCUGCAGUGCUCUAACAGAGGAGUCCUGGAG